rnacentral:rRNA from 1 species
UACGUAGGGUGCGAGCGUUGUCCGGAAUUACUGGGCGUAAAGAGCUCGUAGGCGGCUUGUCGCGUUGUUCGUGAAAAUUUACCGCUCAACGGUGAACUUGCGGGCGAUACGGGCAGGCUAGAGUACUGCAGGGGAGACUGGAAUUCCUGGUGUAGCGGUGAAAUGCGCAGAUAUCAGGAAGAACACCGGUGGCGAAGGCGGGUCUCUGGGCAGUAACUGACGCUGAGGAGCGAGAGCGUGGGGAGCGAACAGG